rfam:Glycine soja cultivar W05 scaffold1405_4, whole genome shotgun sequence.
UUCUUAUUGGAUGAUGACUGUCACGUGUCAUGUUUUGAUUGGAUGUCAACUCCAUGAAAGAUGAAAUGCAUGCAUUAUUGUUUUUAUUGAUCAAUCAGAACAUGACUCAUGACAGUCAUCAUCC